rnacentral:misc_RNA from 1 species
CUUUUAUUUUUCAAAAAAAAAAAAAGUAAAAAAUUUAUUUCAGUCAACUGUUCACCAUGCAUUAUAUCGGCUUGAGGCAUUGGUUGUUUGAUACCUUGUAUGAAUAUUUAGUAACUACCACAAACUAAAGAAAAUUUUCCUUCCGCCAAAUUUUGUAAAAAAUAUUCAUACAAGGUAUCAAACAACCAAUGCCUCAAGCCGAUAUAACCUAUUAAGAAAUCAACUCAAAUACCCUCCCUUAAGCAAGCUGCAAACGGCUGUGUAAUAUACAUGCAAAAAGAAUUGCCGCUAUCAUGAGCCAUACCAGAAUGCAUCUGGAUUUGUUUGUCUGGCUCUGCUCUGUCCUGCUUAGCUCCAAUAUCACCUACUUCAAACCAUGAAAAAAAUACACCAGAACAAAGAAACAUUGCACUUAACGAAUUGGGUGAUAUUGUGCUGAUAUUCUCUUGGGAGGCAACUUCCGCAGGAUGUAGAGCACUAGAGCUGAGGGUAGAAUCUCAACCAGCAUGUAAUAGAUCACAUUCAAAACUGGAUGGUCCAAAACAUCAAGUGAUGCAUCUGAAUCAAAAGCAGAAAGAAGAACCACAAAACAUCUUAUAAGGAAGCACGUGAAACAUAUAGCUGUAACUGAUCCAACCUCAUGGAGCUUCUUUCUUCUCCCUUUAGAUUCAAUAGGGAAGCGUCUCAGCAUGAAAAAUAAUCUUCCUCCAUACAACAAGAAACCCAAUGCAGCUAUAAUUGAUACCACUGCAAUAAAGAUCUUUCCAAUGAAUUCAACAACGCUGUUGUCAUCUAUCCAUAGGUAUACCCAGAUGCAAACCUGCAAGAAGUAAAUUCCACCAUUGACUAAAAUAUAAACAAUUCUGAGCUUAUCAGUUGGCAAACUUCUUGCCUGGUGAUAUAUCUCUGCCCAAAAUAGGACAAGCAGGGUGUAAGUAGAAAAGAAGAGAAGUCCCGGGAGAUCCAAUAAUACCAAUGUUAGCACCUUGGGAUGCAAAACAAACACUUGCUUGUGAAAUCCAAACAAAAUUGCACGAACUCCAUUCACAAUGAAGUUCAUAAGGUG